rnacentral:rRNA from 1 species
CCUACGGAGGGCUGCAGUGGGGAAUAUUGGACAAUGGGGGGAACCCUGAUCCAGCCAUGCCGCGUGUGUGAAGAAGGCCCUCGGGUUGUAAAGCACUUUCAGUGAGGAAGAACGCCUGGUGGUUAAUACCCAUCAGGAAAGACAUCACUCACAGAAGAAGCACCGGCUAACUCCGUGCCAGCAGCCGCGGUAAUACGGAGGGUGCGAGCGUUAAUCGGAAUUACUGGGCGUAAAGCGCGCGUAGGUGGCUUGAUAAGCCGGUUGUGAAAGCCCCGGGCUCAACCUGGGAACGGCAUCCGGAACUGUCAAGCUAGAGUGCAGGAGAGGAAGGUAGAAUUCCCGGUGUAGCGGUGAAAUGCGUAGAGAUCGGGAGGAAUACCAGUGGCGAAGGCGGCCUUCUGGACUGACACUGACACUGAGGUGCGAAAGCGUGGGUAGCAAACAGGAUUAGAUACCCCGGUAGUC